rnacentral:rRNA from 1 species
GGGCCCGCACAAGCAGUGGAGCAUGUGGUUUAAUUCGAUGCAACGCGAAGAACCUUACCAGGCCUUGACAUCCUCGGAACUUUCUAGAGAUAGAUUGGUGCCUUCGGGAACCGAGUGACAGGUGCUGCAUGGCUGUCGUCAGCUCGUGUCGUGAGAUGUUGGGUUAAGUCCCGUAACGAGCGCAACCCUUGUCCUUAGUUGCCAGCACAUUAUGGUGGGAACUCUAGCAAGACUGCCAGUGCAAACUGUGAGGAAGGUGGGGAUGACGUCAAAUCAUCACGGCCCUUACGUCCUGGGCUACACACGUGCUACAAUGGUAGGUACAGAGGGAAGCCACCCCGCGAGGGGAGCGGA